GUCGAGCGAAGUUUUUAAAGUGGAUCCCUUCGGGGUGAAACUUUAAUUAUCUUAGCGGCGGACGGGUGAGUAACGCGUGAGAAACCUGCCUUUCACAAAGGGAUAGCCUCGGGAAACUGGGAUUAAUACCUUAUGAUACUUCUACUUCACAUGAAGAAGAAGUUAAAGCGUAAAGCGGUGAAAGAUGGUCUCGCGUCCCAUUAGCUAGUUGGUGAGGUAAUAGCUCACCAAGGCGACGAUGGGUAGCCGGCCUGAGAGGGUGAACGGCCACACUGGAACUGAGACACGGUCCAGACUCCUACGGGAGGCAGCAGUGGGGAAUAUUGCACAAUGGAGGAAACUCUGAUGCAGCGACGCCGCGUGAACGAUGAAGGCUUUCGGGUCGUAAAGUUCUGUCCUAGGGGACGAUAAUGACGGUACCCUAGGAGGAAGCCCCGGCUAACUACGUGCCAGCAGCCGCGGUAAUACGUAGGGGGCAAGCGUUGUCCGGAUUUAUUGGGCGUAAAGGGUUCGCAGGUGGUCCUUUAAGUCAGAUGUGAAAGAUCACAGCUCAACUGUGGUAAGCAUUUGAAACUGAAGGACUUGAGUUAAGGAGAGGAAAGUGGAAUUCCUAGUGUAGCGGUGAAAUGCGUAGAUAUUAGGAGGAAUACCAGUGGCGAA
rnacentral:rRNA from 1 species